UACGAAGGGUGCAAGCGUUACUCGGAAUUACUGGGCGUAAAGCGUGCGUAGGUGGUUUGUUAAGUCUGAUGUGAAAUCCCCGGGCUCAACCUGGGAAUGGCAUUGGAUACUGGCAGGCUAGAGUGCGGUAGAGGGUGGUGGAAUUCCCGGUGUAGCAGUGAAAUGCGUAGAGAUCGGGAGGAACACCAGUGGCGAAGGCGGCUACCUGGACCAGCACUGACACUGAGGCACGAAAGCGUGGGGAGCAAACAGG
rnacentral:rRNA from 1 species